rnacentral:rRNA from 1 species
UGGGGAAUAUUGGACAAUGGGCGCAAGCCUGAUCCAGCCAUGCCGCGUGAGUGAUGAAGGCCCUAGGGUUGUAAAGCUCUUUCACCGGUGAAGAUAAUGACGGUAACCGGAGAAGAAGCCCCGGCUAACUUCGUGCCAGCAGCCGCGGUAAUACGAAGGGGGCUAGCGUUGUUCGGAUUUACUGGGCGUAAAGCGCACGUAGGCGGACUUUUAAGUCAGGGGUGAAAUCCCGGGGCUCAACCCCGGAACUGCCUUUGAUACUGGAAGUCUUGAGUAUGGUAGAGGUGAGUGGAAUUCCAAGUGUAGAGGUGAAAUUCGUAGAUAUUCGGAGGAACACCAGUGGCGAAGGCGGCUCACUGGACCAUUACUGACGCUGAGGUGCGAAAGCGUGGGGAGCAAACAGG